AUUGAACGCUGGCGGCAGGCCUAACACAUGCAAGUCGAGCGGCAGCGGGAAAGUAGCUUGCUACUUUUGCCGGCGAGCGGCGGACGGGCGAGUAAUGCCUGGGAAAUUGCCCAGUCGAGGGGGAUAACAGUUGGAAACGACUGCUAAUACCGCAUACGCCCUACGGGGGAAAGCAGGGGACCUUCGGGCCUUGCGCGAUUGGAUAUGCCCAGGUGGGAUUAGCUAGUUGGUGAGGUAAUGGCUCACCAAGGCGACGAUCCCUAGCUGGUCUGAGAGGAUGAUCAGACACACUGGAACGGAGACACGGUCCAGACUCCUACGGGAGGCAGCAGUGGGGAAUAUUGCACAAUGGGGGAAACCCUGAUGCAGCCAUGCCGGGUGUGUGAAGAAGGCCUUCGGGUUGUAAAGCACUUUCAGCGAGGAGGAAAGGUUGAUGCCUAAUACGUAUCAACUGUGACGUUACUCGCAGAAGAAGCACCGGCUAACUCCGUGCCAGCCGCCGCCGUAACAC
rnacentral:rRNA from 1 species